rnacentral:rRNA from 1 species
CUAAGUUUGAUGGCGACCGGCGCACGGGUGAGUAACACGUAUCCAACCUGCCGAUGAUUCGGGGAUAGCCUUUCGAAAGAAAGAUUAAUACCCGAUGGCAUAGUUCUUCCGCAUGGUAGAACUAUUAAAGAAUUUCGGUCAUCGAUGGGGAUGCGUUCCAUUAGGUUGUUGGCGGGGUAACGGCCCACCAAGCCUUCGAUGGAUAGGGGUUCUGAGAGGAAGGUCCCCCACAUUGGAACUGAGACACGGUCCAAACUCCUACGGGAGGCAGCAUG